rnacentral:misc_RNA from 1 species
CUGAGUACCGGGUCUCUCAGGCCCUUACUCCCACCCUUUGUGUACCUUACCAUAUUUCAGUUGCUUUGGUGGGUUUUCUAACCAAAAACUCACCAUUGGGACUUUUUUAAACUCUUGAUAAUUGAGUUGUCUGAGAACAAAACAAAUAAAUUA